rfam:Cyanothece sp. PCC 8801, complete genome.
GGGUUACUAGCUCAACGGUAGAGCACUGGACUCUUAAUCCAUUGGUUCAGGGUUCGAAUCCCUGGUGACCCA